CCUGCAUGCACAGGGGCCAGUGAUUCUCAACCUGUGGGUCCUUCGAGGUCCUAUCAGAUAGCCUAAAUAUCAGGUAUAAAGAGCUCCUCUGUGGCCAGGGAAGUGAGUUGCAGAGGAGAUGUCAGUGUUUUGAAAGUUGUUUCUGAAACUUCACCGGGGGAUUGGUGGAACUAAUAAUAUAUCCACCUCACAAGAGAUGAACUUUGUUUUCUCAGUAGAAAAUUGUUCUCUGCUUCAGAAAACAUGUCUUGC